rnacentral:SRP_RNA from 1 species
GCCAGGCGUAGUGGUGCACACCUGUAGUCCCAGCUACUCUGGAGGCUGAGGCAGGAGAAUCACUUGAGCCUGGGAGGUGGAGGCUGCAGUGGGCUGAGAUCACGCCACUGCACUCUACCCUGGGUGACAGAGUGAGACUCUGUCUCAA